AAUAGUUGAUAUCCUGUAUGUUACUUUAUACUGAUAAUAAUCACAUGUAGUAUGCACCUGACUUUAUACUUUUUGGUUAUUGUAUCUAUGGUCAUGUUUGUUGAGGGAGAACUGUCAGAUUUUGGCGGCGGUUCAUUGCCCGAGGUUAUGUUGGAUUUGUUCUUUGUAAUCUUAUAAUUAAUCCUGUAUGUCGCUGUAAUAAAAGAAAUAUUACUGGAAGCAGUGGUUUGUGUGCUAAACCCCUUUUACUGAGCAUUAAAUCUAUGGAUGAUUUCAACUCAGAAAGCGGGAUUGUGAAUUCAAAUGCCCACAUAGAAAUUGGUUAAUUGUUUUCACCUGUAUAGAGGUGCUAUAUUGAACCAUCGCACUGGGAGAUUUCGGCACAAGAUCGGCAGAAGUAGAGGUUUACGGUGAAUAAAAAGUGCAAGCCUUUGAAGAGCAGAGGCGAGUCGAACUCGAGGCAAGAUGGGUUAAAGGCCCGACCACCUGCGGUCAUAAACUACAAUUUUGUCGGAAGUGUGCAGACCUGCGGUGAAUGUGGAUGUUCAUUCACUGCAAAAAUAGGCUACGUCAGCCACCUGAGAGGUCACGAUCAUCGUUCUCACUAGCCAGUGAAUACUCAGUCGCCGAGGCAGAAACCGGCUAGGACAGGAUGAUCAGAGGUGCGUAGCAAUGUAUGUUGCUUGGUUUUUAAAAAAAAAGUUUGAGUUUGUUUGAUUGACAAUUGGUUUCAUUUGCUUAUCAUAAAAGGUGUUUUAAAUUUGCAAUGUAAGUACUUGACGUUUGCUAUGUAUUGAUCUAGUUACUAACCCCUGUUUUUUUUUUGUCAUUGUUUGUUUUUGGUCUGAGAGAUGACACGUUGGAAUACAAUGAGAAUAGAUCUCGACGAAAACGCAAGCAAGCAACCAUCAGCUUCAUCACAGUGAGAUUGGUGAGACACAGAGCCAACAAGGUUACGAACGAAGUCAAAAGGGUAAGGAUGACAUUGUGCAGUAUUCAGGUACAAUAUAGGUGCUUAGUGAAGUUAGUUAUUAACACUGAGUUGUAUAAUGACAUUAGGUGAAUAUAUACUAGGUAUUAUUACUAUUUUGGAUAGUCUAAUGAUACUAAAAGGUAUUUUAUUUCUAAUGAUGUAUGAGUAUAUAAUGCCUAUAUAUGGCAAGAGAUAAUAAUAAAAUGUUAUGGAUUGGUAUCACAGAGGUUAUUGCCAUGAUGAAUUGAUAGGAUAGCGAAGAUGAGAGGAAGAAACUGAUAGCGGGCUAGAAUUGUAGAUUGGCCCAUGACGGUUAUCAGUGGAAAGAGUUAAAAGAGGCUUUUACCGAGCACCACACUUAUUAAGAUAUAGCUCUAUUUCUAUAUUCCGGUCUCUAAUUCAGAAUAGGUGGUAAUUUAUAAUAGGUGGAUGUGCAUAUAAAUUAUUUUAGAUAAAAGACUGAAGUUAGUUUUUGAUUUGACAACAAAGAAAUUAUUUAUAAACUUUUGUAUAUGAAAAAAAAAUGUUAAUUGAAGAUAUUGAAUGGUAUAUUCUACAUAGGUAGGUACAUGCAUUUAGUUUCAUAUCAUUGUUAUAUUGGAAAUUAUCAAUCUGGAUACUUAGAGAGAAGCACAUACAAACAAUAAUGAAUGAAUGAAAUUACACACAGUAUAAAUUCGAAAUUUGAAUUGACACAGGUAGUUUCACAUCUAUUUCAUAACAUUUAUUUAAAGGUCAUGCAUCUCAACAAUCCAAUUCAUUAGCUUAUAUAAUUCAUUCUGAAGCCUGAAUUUUGUAUAUGAGCAAGGUUUAUAUAAUUUAAAAAUGAAAAACAGAUGUGCAGAAUUUUUGGAAAUUGUCCACGCUUACCUCACGCUUCGCAUACAAAUCAAGGAAGUUUACAUUAAUGAUAUUAAUAUUUCAAAAUGUAAAAGAGACUUGUACUAUUAAUGGUGUCACAAUUAUUUUACAUCAAUUUACCAAAGAAUUAAGUUUGAAAAUAUAAGUAACAAUUUCAAAGCAUCAUUAUUAUCAUUCAUGGAACAUGAUGCAUGGUCGCAUUGUGGAUACUGACAUUGCAUAUUAAAAUGAAAGGGUUAAGAUCUCCUUGUAGGUAUCUAAAAGAAAGUGAAUAAGUUCACUAUAUUUGGAAUUCUUGAAUAUCUACUUCAUACCUUCGAAUUGUUGACAAGUGGUAUUUAUAUUUAAACCUUAUUGCACAAAAUAGGUAUACACCAGUGUUCAAAUUUGUUUUUCUAAAUUUAUAAAUUUAAUGCAGGUCUUGUCUAAUGACUCUAGUGAAAGCGUUUGUUGCACGGGAUUGGCUAAACAAGAACAGAUUACUUUUCGGUGUUGACACAAUAUUUAUUGUCUAAUAAUAUUGCAUAGUAUUCAGUUAUAUUUUUAAAAUUUGACUAGGUAUGCGAAGUUGAAAUACUGGUGAUGCCUAAUUAAGUUAAUCAAAUGGACGGAUCCUAGAGGUCAUAAAUUGUGGAAUUUGGGUUGCUAAGAGGUGGGUAAUGGUCAGGAAUAGUGUCGGUCGAAUGCAAAAGCAGAUUACUUGUGUAUACAUUAUCAAUUAUAAGAGGGUCCAUUUAUAAAAUUAAAAUGUUGGCAAGAGCUGUGCCUGUUCGAAAAGACAAGACUUAAAGAAUUCUCAUUGAAAAUUGACUUAAAGAGUAAGGUCGAUGAGUGGGUACAAAUAAUGUCACAAGUUUUAGUGCAGGGUUUUAGUAUGGUUUUGUGCAAAAGUCUGUGACUGACUUAAACAAAAGACUCAACACCAGAGUAAGUUGAAUGAACGAAUCUAAAAGUAUAUAACAUUCAAAUUUAAAGAAGCCUUAUAAAGUAGGCUGUGUAGAAGUAACUUGGAGUUAAUUUUUAUUUUACAUUUCUUUUCAAUUCAUUAAACUUUGAAAGUAUCCUUAAAUUUGGUUUAUUGUUAGGUUUAACACAUGGUACAUUUAUGAUUUUAUGACGAAGACACAGUGAUGACAAGAGAAAUAGGUUGGUGAUAUUAACCAUGUGAACCAUGAUUCAUAAACACAACAUUUAUGGUUGCAGUUUUACAGCCAUAGCCAUUGGCUCUAACUAUUAAAAAAAAAGGUGUAUAAAUAUAUUGGAAUUUAAUUACUUCCAAUAGUUUCAAUAAUAUAGUAGGUGGGGUAAUGACGCUAGUAUUUGCUACGGUGUACUCGGUGUAGUAUACGCUUGUACCUAUUUGGAGCCUUUUCUUUUCGGGUGCAUGUGACCCCGAGGUUUAGUGUUGCGUUUUUUACCAUCCCUGUGGCUGAAUAUUACUAUGGUGAUAUGUUGCACGAAGUUUAGGACGAAACAUCAGGACCAUCAGGUUAUUGAAUAAAUAUCUGUUUAUAUAAAUUCAACAAAAUAAAACAUGAUUUAAAUGUAAUCUUCUCAAAGUUGAUAAAUUGAUGAAUAUUUAUUAUUUUAUUUUAUUAAUGUUGAGGAUUUUUGAUGAAGAUAAUGAUUGAUAUCCAAGACGACAUUGACGUCUAAUUACAAUUUUAGUAACGAUGAGUAGGUGUCUAAUACAAAUACUUUAUUUAUAACGCUAAGGAAGAUCUUAGGUAACAGAGGUCCGAUAAUGAUGAUGAUGUAGGUAUAUGACUGAACAUGUCUACUAGUUAAGUAAGUGUCGAUGUCGGCGACAAUGUUUGCUCCAUGACUAUGACAGGGUCAAUAACUGGCCAUAUCGAUGAUAAAAACGGAGCUGGAUGAUUUCGAUGACAAUGUCGGCGAUAAAGCUUGACUGACCACUUUGAUGACGAUAUAUAGAUGACGUUUAUAGUAAGAUUAAUUGAUGAUGGUAAUGAUUGACUGAUUCGAUGUAUAUAAUCAAUGAUUAAAUUGUUGACGAGGACUGAGACUAAAAUGAUCGUUGCUACUGCCAAUAAUUAUAACAUUUGUUUUUAUUUUUUUAUGUUACAACGCUGGUAACCUGGCUGAAUGGAUGAAGUUGAUAAUGAGCGAGGGCUUCGCAGCAAGAGCUGACUGAAGUAAAGGAGGUUAAACUGUUAAGACGGUGCUGCCAGCAGUGGGCAGGGCCCAAGCUGCCGAUGGACAGGGCCACAGAGCGAGGAACCGACAUACAUACGUGCCGUGUCCAAGAUUACUGCCUUCUGCAUCUGAUCCUUGAUCCAGCGACCAGCGAGAGUAUCUACAGGUGUUGUUUUGGACUCUUAGCUGACAAGAUUGCUAUUAUACUAAUAUUAUGAAUCUAGAAUAUAACUGUUGAGUUUUGGCAGACUGUCUAGUGCAGGCCGUAAUGGCAGACUGUCUAGAGCAGGCCAUGACUGUUUAUUAUGUUAGUUUAUGCUUUGGCAAAGUUAGGUUCUUGUAAUAUGGGCCUUGUUGUUUGAUCCAAAUAAAUAUAUAUACAUAUUAGUUUAUACUUUGACAAACUGUCCAGCGCAGGCCUUGAAGGCAGACUGUCUGGGGCAGGUCGUGAUUGUUUAUGAUGAUUUAUACUUAGGCAGACUGUCUAGAACAGGCUUUGAUAGUAGCCUGUCUUCUAGAGCAGGCCAUAACAAAUUAAUUAAAAUAAUUAAUUAGGUAUGAAUGUGCAGACUGUCUAGAGCAAGCUUUGAUAACAGCCUGUCUUCUAGAGCAGGCCAAAACAAAUUAAUUCAAAUAAUUAAUUAGGUAUGAAUGUGCAGACUGUCUAGAGCAAGCUUUGAUAACAGCCUGUCUUCUAGAGCAGGCCAAAACAAAUUAAUUCAAAUAAUUAAUUAGGUAUGAAUGUGCAGACUGUCUAGAGCAAGCUUUGAUAACAGCCUGUCUUCUAGAGCAGGCCAAAACAAAUUAAUUCAAAUAAUUAAUUAGGUAUGAAUGUGCAGACUGUCUAGAACAGGCUUUGAUAGCAGACUGUCUUCUAGAGCAGGCCGUGAUGGCAGACUGUCUAGACAACGCAAGUCUAGAGCAGGCCAUAACAAUUUAUACUUUGGAAUGAUAUCUAGAGCAGCCCUUAAGGGCAGACUGUGAAUGUUUAGACUGAUUGUUUUGAUGAAUUAUGUUUUGCAAAUCACUUAAAGCAGGUCUUAAUACUGUGAUUGUUUAUGAUGAAUUAUGUUUUGCCAAACUAUUUAGAGCAGGCCUAAAUGGCAGACUGAUUGUUUUGAUGAAUUAUGUUUUGCAAAUCAUUUAAAGCAGGUCUUAAUACUGUGAUUGUUUAUGAUGAAUUAUGUUUUGCCAAACUAUUUAGAGCAGGCCUAAAUGGUCUUAAUACUGUGAUUGUUUAUGAUGAAUUAUAUUUUGCUAAACUAUUUAGAGCAGGCCUUAUAAGGGUAGACUGUCAUUGUUUAUGACGUUUUAUUCUUUGUCAUACUGUUUAGAGCAGGCCUUGAGGGCAGAUUGAAUGUUAAUUAAUGUUGGCUUAUACUUUGGCAGAUGUCUAGACCAGACCAAGACUGUAAGUUAGUUCAUAUGUAUUGAAAGUUUAUUGAAAGAAGGCUAUUAAUGCUACCAGGUGCUGGUUGUAUUAAAUUACUGUUUAGUGUUUAUAUGAUCUCAGGUUAUAGCAUGUGAAGAUUGUGAAGUGUGAAGACUGAUUUCUCAAUAAGGUUAAUAUAUGCAACUAGUCAUUGGUUGUGUGAUUGACUAAUAAAAGUCUAUAGUCAGAAGUUUACAAAAACUGUUCUUAUGAAUGUUUGUUUGAUAUCGAUAAAAUUGUUAUGAUAUAUUGCUGUUGUUAUUAAUGUACAAUUGUUUUUAGUGAGAGGACUCACUAUAAAUAAAAGGACGGCCGAGUUGUAAGCAUCACAAUAGUUGAUAUCCUGUAUGUUACUUUAUACUGAUAAUAAUCACAUGUAGUAUGCACCUGACUUUAUACUUUUUGGUUAUUGUAUCUAUGGUCAUGUUUGUUGAGGGAGAACUGUCAGAUUUUGGCGGCGGUUCAUUGCCCGAGGUUAUGUUGGAUUUGUUCUUUGUAAUCUUAUAAUUAAUCCUGUAUGUCGCUGUAAUAAAAGAAAUAUUACUGGAA